rnacentral:rRNA from 1 species
UGCCUGGUAGUGGGGGAUAACGCUCGGAAACGGACGCUAAUACCGCAUACGUCCUACGGGAGAAAGCAGGGGACCUUCGGGCCUUGCGCUAUCAGAUGAGCCUAGGUCGGAUUAGCUAGUUGGUGAGGUAAUGGCUCACCAAGGCGACGAUCCGUAACUGGUCUGAGAGGAUGAUCAGUCACACUGGAACUGAGACACGGUCCAGACUCCUACGGGAGGCAGCAGUGGGGAAUAUUGGACAAUGGGCGAAAGCCUGAUCCAGCCAUGCCGCGUGUGUGAAGAAGGUCUUCGGAUUGUAAAGCACUUUAAGUUGGGAGGAAGGGCAUUAACCUAAUACGUUGGUGUCUUGACGUUACCGACAGAAUAAGCACCGGCUAACUCUGUGCCAGCAGCCGCGGUAAUACAGAGGGUGCAAGCGUUAAUCGGAAUUACUGGGCGUAAAGCGCGCGUAG